AACGAACGCUGGCGGCAGGCCUAACACAUGCAAGUCGAACGCCGUAGCAAUACGGAGUGGCAGACGGGUGAGUAACGCGUGGGAACAUACCCCUCGGUUCGGAAUAACUCAGGGAAACUUGAGCUAAUACCGGAUACGUCCGAUGUUUUAAUCGACCUUGGAGAAAGAUUUAUCGCCGGAGGAUUGGCCCGCGUCUGAUUAGCUUGUUGGUGAGGUAAUGGCUCACCAAGGCGACGAUCAGUAGCUGGUCUGAGAGCAUGAUCAGCACAUUGGGACUGAGACACGGCCCAAACUCCUACGGGAGGCAGCAGUGGGGAAUAUUGGACAAGUGGGCGAAAGCCUGAUCCAGCCAUGCCGCGUGAGUGAUGACGGCCU
rnacentral:rRNA from 1 species